AUUCCCAGGCUGAAAUUCCAACCAACUGACAUUACUAUCUUCCACCAGCAGAGGGAGCCACCCUGGCCCUGCAUCCCAGUGCUCUUCUGGCAUUCCAGAUAUUCUCAGUUUCCAUCGCACGCCACUUCCCUCAGCCUGUAGAACUUCCGGCAGCAACUGCAAUUAGGGGUAGUCCAGUGCUAAAUUGUCGCAGCCUUGAAAAUAUUCUGCUUCGUUAUUUCGGGCACUCCACAGAUUCUGUUGCGAAGGCAGCCAUCUUUAGUUCGUCUUUCCUAGAGAGUAGUGUGUGAGCUGCAAAGUUGCUUUACAUCUUUGCCAGCAGCUGAUAAGGGUGGGCCAUAAACCCAAUUUGUGUCCCUUGGGCUGGUGAUUCUGCUGGAAAUCCUGAUCAGCUGCUUAGCUUUUCAGCCGCAACUUUGUUCGUUGAGAAGAUUCUGCUCCAUUUUUUCUGAUUAUGGAUUCUGUUCAGAAGGAAGCCGAAUUUUAAGUCAUCGUUCUAGGAUAGAUUCAGCUCCAUUUUCUCUGGUGGUAGAUCUCCAUGGAUGCUAUUGAGAAGGUACUUCUCAAAGUCCACGAGGACAAGGACAUCUUUCCACCGAAUGCCACCUGGUUUAUAACAAAAGCAUGAAAAACAAACAGGAAUUUCUCAAUGCAGAAAGGACUGAAGCUGUCAAAGGUGUGCUUUUUUUCUGCACAAACAAGUUUCCAUUGAAUGAUAGAAUAAAGAGAUACUGACUUCCCCGGAGCCUCCAAACUUGAGUAGUCAGCUGCACUUCAAGGGAAGUUAUUGAAUAUGUCCUAUCCAACUAAAACAAGGAAAUGAUGAAAAAAAUAAAAUCACUUUCCAGAGGCCUCAGGGCUAACUGGAGACAGAGCUCAGACUGCAACUGAGAAAAGUUGGACUCCAAAACCUGUACUCUGAGCUUUACUGCAUGAGAAAGUUAUUGAAAUGUGCCUUGUGACAUUCAGAAUAAGUGACUUUUCAGAGGUCUCAGAGUCAGUAAGAGACAGAACUCAGAUUGUAACCAAGAAGAGCUGAACUCCAAACUUCUGUGUCCGGAAUUGGUGGGUUCUUGGUCUCACUGACUUCAAGAAUGAAGCGGCAGACCCUCGCGG
rnacentral:lncRNA from 10 species